UCGUUCUCUCAAGUCCAGCUGUGGCCAAGCUUCUGGUUGCCCCUUCUCUGGCAGUGCUUCUCAGCGGCAUCACCAACGUUGGUGGCCGUCGGUCUUGAGGGAGGUCAUCGGAUUGUGAAAUGCACCAGGAUGCUCCCCCAAUAGGUUGAUUCUUUUCAUUUCAUAGCUAACAAGAGAGGGAUCUAGGCUCUAGCUAAGGUGAUGAACAGAGUUAACGGUUGAUUCGUUUCACUUCCUACACCAAGAAGACUGUCAAGUUCUUGUUUUUUCAAUUUCAAUUGGCCAAUUCCAUUUCCAAUCUUGACCAUGGGGAAUCCAAGAAUCAACUAAUGGCUUUGUCAACAAUAAUGUAUCUUGUAUUUAUCAGCAUGUAUCUUCUGCAAACGGGG